rnacentral:rRNA from 1 species
AGAUUGAACGCUGGCGGCAUGCCUAACACAUGCAAGUCGAACGGGAGUAGCAAUACUCUAGUGGCGGACGGGUGAGGAAUACGUAGGAAUUUGCCCUUAAGUGGGGGAUAACCCGGGGAAACCCGGAUUAAUACCGCAUGACCUCGAAAGAGCAAAGUGGGGGAUCGCAAGACCUCACGCUUUUGGAGAAGCCUACGUCGGAUUAGCUAGUUGGUGAGGUAAUGGCUCACCAAGGCGACGAUCCGUAACUGGUCUGAGAGGAUGAUCAGUCACACCGGAACUGAGACACGGUCCGGACUCCUACGGGAGGCAGCAGUGGGGAAUAUUGGACAAUGGGCGCAAGCCUGAUCCAGCAAUGCCGCGUGUGUGAGAAGGCCUCGGUUGUAAGCACUUUAAGUUAGGAAGAAAAAACGUACGACGUACUAACACAGUAGAGUCUUGACGGUACCGACAGAAUAAGACACCGCUAACUCUGUGCCAGCAGCCGCGGUA